ACUUAGAAGGCUGCCUCACUUAGUGAAUGUUACAUGUGGUAGCUAUAAUUAUAUGUGUUUAGUAAUUGAUGAGCAAAAUUGAGCUGAUGGAGACUAGCACUGCCUCGAGGCUAAACAGAGGAGAGGGAUAUAUGCUCAUACACUGUAAGAGAUUGUCUCCAAAGGUGCCCCCUCAGCCCCCAACGAAUAAGGCCUCUCAGUACUUAUGUCUUUAUA
rnacentral:lncRNA from 1 species